rnacentral:rRNA from 1 species
AGCGAACGCUGGCGGCAGGCUUAACACAUGCAAGUCGAGCGGGCAUCCUUGUGGUGUCAGCGGCAGACGGGUGAGUAACGCGUGGGAACGUGCCCUUCGGUUCGGAAUAACUCAGGGAAACUUGAGCUAAUACCGGAUACGUGCGAGAGCAGAAAGGUUUAUCUGCCGAAGGAUCGGCCCGCGUCUGAUUAGCUAGUUGAUGAGGUUAUGGCUCACCAAGGCGACGAUCAGUAGCUGGUCUGAGAGGAUGAUCAGCCACACUGGGACUGAGACACGGCCCAGACUCCUACGGGAGGCAGCAGUGGGGAAUAUUGGACAAUGGGGGCAACCCUGAUCCAGCCAUGCCGCGUGAGUGAUGACGGCCUUAGGGUUGUAAAGCUCUUUUCUCCGGGACGAUAAUGACGGUACCGGAGGAAUAAGCCCCGGCUAACUUCGUG